AAACUGGUAGGCUUGUUGGGGAUACUGCUAGACUUGGGACUGGGAGAGGGUAGAGGUACUACUAGGGAAGGGGCAAAAUCCUAUAAUCCUAGUGGGACCACCUGUGGCGAAGGCUUCUACCUAGAACAGGUCCGACGGUGAGGAACGUAACCUAGGGGAGCGAUCGGGAUUAGAUACCCCGGUAGUCCUAGGCGUAAACGAUGACCACUUGGUGUUACAAACCUCAAGAGGGUUUGUAGUGCCGGCGCGUAGGUGUUAAGUGGGCCACCUGGGGUGUACGGCCGCAAGGUGAAACUAAGGAAAUUGGCGUGGAGCACACAAGGAGUGGAGGCUACGGUUCAAUUGG
rnacentral:rRNA from 1 species